GUCGUUCACGAUGUACCCUAUGGCCACCAUGCGGCCACCAUGUGCCUGCACCCAGUAGGCUCCGCGCCUCCUCUCCCUGCCCAAGCUCCUCCUCCCUUGACUCCCCUUUGUGGAGACAUUUUUUUGACACAAUUUCUGGUCCGACGAGUCCUAACUGGCAGCCUGACUCCGACGAGCCCGUCUACUGGUCGAAGGAAAAAUCAGAGAAUAAAAUUGAUUGGCAUCUGUGUGUCGAGGUUAGCAUGUGCUUGGCCAUGGCAGCGACAACACGGCCGACGGCAGCUGCUGGAAUGUGUGCCUCAUUGCUUUUUGAGUCACUAGCAACUAUUCUUCCAUAAGUAGUUGUGCUCAAAAUAAUGUCGCUGAAGAUGGUGGCAGCAACAACAGCAGCACCAGGAGGAUGUUGGAUGCCAUGCGUGUUCAGAGGAAACAACAAUUCAGAAAUUGGUGAUGAUCCAGCCUCGUCAAGCUAGCUAGCUAGUGUUGUUAAUUUGUUAGAGAUGGAGCUAAAUACUAGCAUAUGCAUGUCUGAUCUAGACUGAUGAGCCUGACAGAGAAGCAAUUAUUUUAUUGAGUUACAGCUGAUGCAUGAUGGAGCAGCAGAGCAAUCAAUUAAGCUGUCAAAUUAUGUUAAGUGUAUAUAUACUAGAAUAUGCACAAUCACACGAGUCCCAGUACAUCCAAAAAUUGCUUGAGACCAA